rnacentral:rRNA from 1 species
GGCAGCCGGUGCCGUAGGUGACCUGCGGAAGGACAUUACAGUAGUCGCCCGGGUUGCCGCAAGGCCUCCCGGGUAACCUACCACCCUUUGUUUAUUACACUUUGUUGCUUUGGCAAGCCUGCCCUCGGGCUGCUGGCUCCGGCCGGCGAGCGCUUGCCAGAGGACCUAAACUCUGUUUGUCUAUACUGUCUGAGUACUAUAUAAUAGUUAAAACUUUCAACAACGGAUCUCUUGGUUCUGGCAUCGAUGAAGAACGCAGCGAAAUGCGAUAAGUAAUGUGAAUUGCAGAAUUCAGUGAAUCAUCGAAUCUUUGAACGCACAUUGCGCCCCCUGGUAUUCCGGGGGGCAUGCCUGUCCGAGCGUCAUUACAACCCUCAAGCUCAGCUUGGUGUUGGGCCCCGCCGCCCCGGCGGGCCCUAAAGUCAGUGGCGGUGCCGUCCGGCUCCGAGCGUAGUAAUUCUUCUCGCUCUGGAGGCCCGGUCGUGUGCUCGCCAGCAACCCCCAAUUUUUUUCAGGUUGACCUCGGAUCAGGUAGGGAUACCCGCUGAACUUAAGCAUAUC